UACGUAGGGUGCAAGCGUUGUCCGGAAUUAUUGGGCGUAAAGAGCUCGUAGGCGGUUUGUCGCGUCUGCUGUGAAAACUCGGGGCUUAACUCCGGGCCUGCAGUGGGUACGGGCAGACUAGAGUGCGGUAGGGGAGACUGGAAUUCCUGGUGUAGCGGUGAAAUGCGCAGAUAUCAGGAGGAACACCGGUGGCGAAGGCGGCAUCCUGGACCGGUAUUGACGCUGAGGCGCGAAAGCCAGGGGAGCAAACGGG
rnacentral:rRNA from 1 species